rnacentral:lncRNA from 1 species
AGAAUUUCUGAGGGGGGUUGAAAAAGCUGUUUCUGAGGGGUUGUGUGCAUCGGCAUUCUUUGAUCUUUGCGUUUUUUCUGAGGGGUAAGGCAAAAAUUUCUUAAUUUCCGGGGGGGUGUUUGUGUCGGCACUUUGAUCUUUUUUCUUAGGGGUUCAAAUUUUAUUGACCUCGUCCAUAGGGGGGUGUGUACAUUAAAUGGAAUGGCCC